rnacentral:rRNA from 1 species
GGACUACCGGGGUAUCUAAUCCUGUUUGCUCCCCUAGCUUUCGUGCAUCAGCGUCAGUUAUGGUCCAGUGAGCCGCUUUCGCCACAGGUGUUCCUCCUGAUAUCUACGCAUUUCACCGCUACACCAGGAAUUCCACUCACCUCUCCCAUACUCAAGCCCGGCAGUUUCCGAUGCAGACUAUGAGUUGAGCCCAUAGAUUUCACAUCAGACUUACCAAACCGCCUACGCACCCUUUACGCCCAAUAAUUCCGAACAACGCUCGCCCCCCUCGUAUUACCGCGGCUGCUGGCAC